rnacentral:rRNA from 1 species
CGGGGGGAGCGAGCGUUGUUCGGAUUUACUGGGCGUAAAGGGCGCGUAGGCGGUCAGCACAAGUCAGUUGUGAAAUCUCCGAGCUUAACUCGGAAAGGUCAACUGAUACUGUGCGACUAGAGUGCAGAAGGGGCAACUGGAAUUCUCGGUGUAGCGGUGAAAUGCGUAGAUAUCGAGAGGAACACCUGCGGCGAAGGCGGGUUGCUGGGCUGACACUGACGCUGAGGCGCGAAAGCUAGGGGAGCGAACGGGAUUAGAUACCCCGGUAGUCCUAGCCUUAAACGAUGAAUGCUUGGUGUCUGGGGUUAUAUAGUCCCCGGGUGCCGUCGCUAACGCUUUAAGCAUUCCGCCUGGGGAGUACGGUCGCAAGACUG